rnacentral:rRNA from 1 species
AACGAACGCUGGCGGCGCGCCUAAUACAUGCAAGUCGAGCGAAGAAGACGUAGCAAUACGUUUGUAAAGCGGCGAACGGGUGAGGAAUACAUGGGUAACCUACCCUCGAGUGGGAAUAACUAGCCGAAAGGUUAGCUAAUACCGCGUACGCUCCUUGGACUUCGGUUCAGGGAGGAAAGCGAUACCGUGGGUAUACGCGCUCUUGGAUGGGGCUCGAUGUCCUAUCAGCUUGUUGGUGAGGUAACGGCUCACCAAGGCUUCGACGGGUAGCUGGUCUGAGAGGACGAUCAGCCACACUGGCACUGCGACACGGGCCAGACUCCUACGGGAGGCAGCAGUAAGGAAUAUUGCGCAAUGGGCGAAAGCCUGACGCAGCGACGCCGCGUGGGGGAUGAAGGUCUU